UGGCGCACGGGUGCGUAACGCGUGGGAAUCUGCCCUUGGGUUCGGGAUAACAGUUGGAAACGAUUGCUAAUACCGGAUGAUGACUUCGGUCCAAAGAUUUAUCGCCCAGGGAUGAGCCCGCGUAGGAUUAGCUAGUUGGUGAGGUAAAGGCUCACCAAGGCGACGAUCCUUAGCUGGUCUGAGAGGAUGAUCAGCCACACUGGGACUGAGACACGGCCCAG
rnacentral:rRNA from 1 species